GACGAACGCUGGCGGCGUGCUUAACACAUGCAAGUCGUACGAUGAGGCCUCUUUGGGGGGUGGAUUAGUGGCGAACGGGUGAGUAACACGUGGGUAAUCUGCCCUGUACUUUGGGAUAAGCCUGGGAAACUGGGUCUAAUACCGGAUAUGACCUGCUCUCGCAUGGGGGUGGGUGGAAAGCUCCGGCGGUAUGGGAUGAGCCUGCGGCCUAUCAGCUUGUUGGUGGGGUGANGGCCUACCAAGGCGACGACGGGUAGCCGGCCUGAGA
rnacentral:rRNA from 1 species